rnacentral:rRNA from 1 species
UACGGAGGGUGCGAGCGUUAAUCGGAAUUACUGGGCGUAAAGGGUGCGUAGGUGGUUAAUUAAGUUAUCUGUGAAAUUCCUGGGCUUAACCUGGGCAGGUCAGAUGAUACUGGUUGACUCGAGUAUGGGAGAGGGUAGUGGAAUUUCCGGUGUAGCGGUGAAAUGCGUAGAGAUCGGAAGGAACACCAGUGGCGAAGGCGUCUACCUGGCCUAUUACUGACACUGAGGCACGAAAGCGUGGGUAGCAAACAGG